GGCAAAAUGGCUGAGAGUAGGCAUUAGACUGUAAAUCUAAGAACAGAAGUAGUAAAGCUUCUUUUUGUCA
rnacentral:tRNA from 1 species